UGGCUCUGGCAUCGAUGAAGAACGCAGCGAAAUGCGAUAAGUAAUGUGAAUUGCAGAAUUCAGUGAAUCAUCGAAUCUUUGAACGCACAUUGCGCCCGCCGGUAUUCCGGCGGGCAUGCCUGUUCGAGCGUCAUUUCGACCCCUCAAGCCCAGCUUGGUGUUGGGGCGGCGGGACCGCCACGGUCCCCGCGCCCCCAAGUCGAUCGGCGGGCUCGCCCGGACCCUGAGCGCAGUAAAAAUCGCGGUAAAACGCGGCGCCGCUCGGUUCGUCCGGCGGGAUCCUUGCCGCCAAAACAACCGAAAACCCCAAAGGUUGACCUCGGAUCAGGUAGGAAUACCCGCUGA
rnacentral:misc_RNA from 1 species